rnacentral:rRNA from 1 species
GACGAACGCUGGCGGCGUGCUUAACACAUGCAAGUCGAACGGAAAGGCCCUGCUUUUGUGGGGUGCUCGAGUGGCGAACGGGUGAGUAACACGUGAGUAACCUGCCCUUGACUUUGGGAUAACUUCAGGAAACUGGGGCUAAUACCGGAUAGGAGCUCCUGCUGCAUGGUGGGGGUUGGAAAGUUUUGGCGGUUGGGGAUGGACUCGCGGCUUAUCAGCUUGUUGGUGGGGUAGUGGCUUACCAAGGCUUUGACGGGUAGCCGGCCUGAGGGGGUGACCGGCCACAUUGGGACUGAGAUACGGCCCAGACUCCUACGGGAGGCAGCAGUGGGGAAUAUUGCACAAUGGGCGGAAGCCUGAUGCAGCAACGCCGCGUGCGGGAUGACGGCCUUCGGGUUGUAAACCGCUUUCGCCUGUGACGAAGCGUGAGUGACGGUAAUGGGUAAAGAAGCACCGGCUAACUACGUG